GUGGGGAAUAUUGGACAAUGGGCGAAAGCCUGAUCCAGCAAUGCCGCGUGAGUGAAGAAGGCCUUCGGGUUGUAAAGCUCUUUUACCCGGGAAGAUAAUGACUGUACUGGGAGAAUAAGCCCCGGCUAACUCCGUGCCAGCAGCCGCGGUAAUACGGAGGGGGCUAGCGUCGUUCGGAAUUACUGGGCGUAAAGCGCACGUAGGCGGUCUUGUAAGUCAGAGGUGAAAGCCCGGGCCUCAACUCCGGAAUUGCCUUUGAAACUGGAAGACUUGAACGCGGGAGGGGUGAGUGGAAUUCCGAGUGUAGAGGCGAAAUUCGUAGAUAUUCGGAGGAACACCAGUGGCGAAGGCGGCUCACUGGACCGUUGUUGACGCUGAGGUGCGAAAGCGUGGGGAGCAAACAGGAUUAGAUACCCCGGUAGUCC
rnacentral:rRNA from 1 species